AUGCUACCCAACACGAUACUACCCGACAUUAUACUACCCAACACGAUACUACUAAACUACCCAAUGCUAUACUACCCGACAUUAUACUACCAACACGAUACUACCCAACUACCCGACAUUAUACUACCCAACACGAUACUACCUAACUACCCGACAUUAUACUACCCAAUGCAAUACUACCCAACACUAUACUACCCAACAUUAUACUACCCAACACGAUACUACCCUACUACCCAAUGCUCUACUACCCGACAUUAUUCUACCCAACACGAUACUACCCAACUACCCGACAUUAUACUACCAACACGAUACUACCCAACGCUAUACUACCCAACUACCCGACAUUAUACUACCCAAUGCUAUACUGCCCAACUACCCGACAUUAUACUACCCAACACGAUACUACCCGACAUUAUACUACCAACACGAUACUACCCAACUACCCGACAUUAUACUACACAACACGAUACUACCAAACUACCCAACGCUAUACCACCCAACAUUAUACUACCAACACGAUACUGCCCAACUACCCGACAUUAUAUUACCAACACAAUACUACCCAACUACCCGACAUUAUACUACCCAACACGAUAUUACCCAACACUAUACUACCCAACUACCCGACAUUAUACUACCCAACUACCCGACAUUAUACUACCCAACACGAUACUACCCGACAUUAUACUACCAACACGAUACUACCAAACUACCCAAUGCUAUACUACCCGACAUUAUACUACCAACAUGAUACUACCCAACUACCCAACAUUAUACUACCCGACAUUAUACUACCCAAUGCAAUACUACCCAACGCUAUACUACCCAACAUUAUACUACCAACACGAUAGUACCCGACAUUAUACUACCAACAUGAUACUACCCAACUACCUGACAUUAUACUACCAACACGAUACUACCCGACAUUAUAUUCCCAACACGAUACUACCCUACUACCCAAUGCUAUACUACCCAACUACCCGACAUUAUACUACCAACACGAUACUACCCAACUACCCGACAUUAUUCUACCCAACACGAUACUACCCAAUUACCCGACAUUAUACUACCCAACAUGAUACUACCCAACUACCCAAUGCUAUACUACCCAACAUUAUACUACCAACACGAUACUACCCGACAUUAUACUACCAACAUGAUACUACCCAACUACCUGACAUUAUACUACCAACACGAUACUACCCUACUACCCAAUGCUAUACUACCCAACAUUAUACUACCCAACACGAUAUUACCCAACACUAUACUACCCAACUACCCGACAUUAUACUACCCAACACGCUACUACCUAACUACCCGACGUUAUACUACCCAACAUGA
rnacentral:lncRNA from 8 species